UUUGGUGAUAUCCAAACACAAAUCCAAUUUGGAAAAAUAGACUGCCCCAUCUAAUUCGUCUAGUAACUUGUCAAUGUUGGGAAUUGGACACUUGUCUGGGACUAUAAUGCCAUUUAAUUUUUAGUAAUCAACACAAAAACACCACGAACCAUCUUUCUUUGUGACCUAUAAAAUUGGCUGGUAAAUGGACUUGAAUUAGGCUGAAUAAACCCUUUUUUAAGUAAUUCCUCAACUUGCUUCUCAAUCUCGGCUUUUUGAUAAUGUGAAUACCUAUAUGGUCGUAAAUUAGGAGGGUUGGCCCCUAGCAAUAAGGGAAUGGCAUGUGAGUGAUUUCUAAAUGGUGGCAAGUUUGUGGGUUCUUCAAAACAAAUGAAAAUUCUACAAAUAAAUAUUCCAGAUUGAAACAUUGGAAAGGUGUAAAGUUGGUGGAGGCUUCUAUUUGUUGCGUUGAAUUAAAUUGAGCACCACUAGUAGUAUUAAGGACUCCCUGUAGCUUAUACCGCUUGCUAUUUAACCAUAAAAUCAUAAAAAGCUCAUUUCAGUUGCCUUGCACCGUAUUCAGAGAUGCUAGCCACUUAAUGCCCAGCAUCAGAUUGGCUCCUCCUAAGGAAAAAGGAAAAAAGUCUUCCUUAAUAGUCAGUUCUGUGAGCUUAACUCCCAUGUCUAUGCAUACUCGGUUGCAAUGUACAAUACUGCUAUCCCCAAUAUGGACUCUAAAUGCAGAAAUAUAAUGAGUAGGAAGACACAGUUCUUGUACCAAUGAGUUUGAUAUAAAAUUAUGAGUAAACCCACUAUCCACUAAUAAUAGUGCUUCUCUUGUGAGCAGCAUACCUUUAAGUUUCAUAGUUAAACCUGUGUUGCUACCCAAUAUAGCAUUUAAUGAAAUUUCUACCCCUUCUAUCCUUAUAUCCUCAGGUUCACCGUCUUCAAGAGGAAGGGCAACUUUAUCGCCUUCCUCUGUAAUCUCCAUGAGAGAGAAAGACCCACGACAGCAGUGCCCAGGUCGAAAGAGGUCACCAUGGUAGAAACAUAGGCCCUUGUCUCUCCUGCGUUGGUGUUCAAAAUCCAUGGAAAGAGUUUUUUGUCGACGCUACACUUGCUGAUCUGGGGCCCGAUGGCAUUGACGCUGAUGUUCUCUGCGAAGACGUCGAGAAAGGAACUUCAGAGUUCUUCUGGUCAUGUGCCCCAGGUGUGCUCGGGUUGUGAUAGCAAGUUUGGGUUUAGAGUAAGCUGGGUCUCUUCUGGGUAAGCUGCGUUUUGCUUUCGAUCUCUAGAGCCAGACUUACUGCUCUGUGAACUGAUCGUGGUUUAUGGAUUCUGACAUCUGAGCAUAAUUCUUCUUUUAAUCCAUUCAAAAAAACAUUGAGCAAGCAAUGCUCUGGCUAAUUCUUGACUCUCACCGAUCGUUUGGCAAACUUUGUGCAAUAUUCUUGGACUGAACCUUCUUGCCUCAUGCUGCAAAGAAAUUCGUUUGGAUUUUGGUAUUCAAGUGGUCCGAAAUUCUCUUGGAAUGCUGUCACAAGCUCGUCCCAAUAGUUAAGUGUUCGUUCGUGACUGAUCCAGGUGAACUGUUCUAGUGUGUCACCCUCCAGUGCUAGUGAGGCUACGUCCACCUUCUCUUCUUCAAGUGUGUUGUAAUACUUAAAGUACUUUUUAGCCUUUAAAAGCCAUCCUUGUGGAUCACCCUUACUAAACUUUGGAAAUUCAAUUUUGGUGCGAUGAAAUUUGGUGCAUCUACGAUUUUCUUAUUGUCUUCGCUUUCUUCAUCUUCAUAAUAGUGCCAAGUUUCUUGUUUUUAUUGAUUGCCAAGGCUUCAAGUGCUUCUACCUUUUCUUUUAAUAAAUCAAGAGUUUCGAGUUGCUGCACAAUUUUGGCCAAAUGAUCUGACAUAAGUGAGUUUGGAUUUUUUGGGUCAUUGUUGGAUGAAUUGUCAGAAGGGUUAAUUUCUUGGCCAGUACGUGUGGUAACCAUGGCUCUGAUGCCAAAUUGAUAGGUGCUCAAAAUAACUAAAAUAAGAACAACUCUAUUAGGAUGAUAUAGAAUGAGAAUUUCGUUCUAUAUUUCUCUUAAGCCACAUUCAGGAGAAUCUCUAAAGGGUUUGAAAGACUAUUUUAUUGAUAAGAUAAUAUCCUAGCUUCUAAGUUGCUAGUCAUAUUUAUAAUGCUAAAUACAAUCUAAAAUGAUGAAUAAAAUCUAGAUAACUAAAUAAUAUCUCCUAAAAUCUAAAAUGCUAAAUAAAAUUUGAAUAGAUAAAAUGCUGAAUCUAAAUAAAAUCUAAAGAAUAAAAUCUGACUAAAUAAAAUACUGAAUCUAAAGAAAUGUCUAAAAAUAAAAUACUAAAUAAAAUAAACAAUGAAAUCAAUCCUAAUUUAUUUUCUGAUGCUCCUUUCUUAAAUAAGUCUUUACGGGAAUAUUAUCUGGAAUCUUAUCAAAUGAGUGGUUUCCAGUUGCAAUAAACAAGUAUUCAUUAUCCUUGUGGUUGGAGAAACAUAGAUAAUAUUGAAUAAUUUAAUUUAAAAAUGAGAAAAUGAUUAAUUUAACUCAUAUUCUUUAGUAGUUCUUCCUCUUUGAAAAUUUUGUAAAGAUAUGUCUGAACUUGUAGAAUGCUAAGUCUACUCUUGGCUGCGUAAGAUGUGUAAAGGAAGAUUCUAUAAUUUGCCAUGGUUUUGUUUAAACUUGACCCUCAUCAUUAAGUAUCUUAAGGUUUAGUUAAAGAUUUAAUUUGACUUAUUGGUAUUGUUUACAUUGAUUUGUACACCUAAUAAAAAAUCGAAAAAAAAAAUACACUUGUGGUGUUAUGCACUUGUGCUAAAAAAGGGGAUUGGUCCCCACAUCAGAAAGGUGGCGCUAGACCAUAGCAUUGAGGGCAAUACGCUGCAACAGACCUUUAGACUGCUCUGACAUGGCAAAUUCCUGUACGGUUCAGGGAGUAAUUUAGGAAAAAGAUUAUGUUAGAGAGGGUGCGGAGAAUUUUGUUGUUGUUCCCCUUCUUUAUUUCUCUAUUUGAUUUCCUUGGUUAAUCUGUAAUGUUGUUUCAUUGUAAUAGUGCUGUGACUCUGUGUGGCUGAAAUCUUGUUGAAACUUAUGCACAACAGAAUUUUCAGCCAAGAAAUUGACAGUGGUUUGAGAAUAUUUUGCUUAUUAUUUUUGAAGUUGCAGGACACCCAUAUCAUUUGGUGCUUUCGUUGAUUUUCUAUGGCUGACAGGAUUUGCCUUAAGAAGAUUCUGGCAGGCCUAAAACAUCUUUCUGAUGAAGUGGCUGUUUGUGACAAACGUGAAGUUGAUACUAACUUACGUUUGGAGCGAGUCAAAGCAAACCUGGAAUUUAUUUCUAGCCAUUUGGAACUAUAGACUCCAACUAUUGAUCACAGCCCUCAUAUUUUUGGCCCAGAAGGUUUGAACUCAUCGGGUGGGGAUCCUACUCAUAUAUCUCUGAAUAUAAUCCCUAAUGGUCAGAGGAAACAAAUGAAGCUAGAUUUUCUGUAUUUCAACAGUAAAUAUCCAUUAACUUGGAUUUUCAGGUUUGAACAGUUCUUUACUUAUAAUACUCCAGAUUUGGAACAGUUAUUGCUUCUUUGCAUUUUGAGGGCUCUGUUGUCCCUUGGUUCUAGAUGUUAAAACAAGCUCAAUAGGUCCCUAUGUGGGCACUGUAAGUGUGUGUCAUUAAAGAACAAUUUGGGCCUUUCCCAGACGCGACUAUUCAAACUGGCCCAAACAACUUCUGUUGCUCAAUAUUAUAGAGUUUAUGGUAUUGGAUUGGCAAACCCAAACAGUGGGUCUAUCUCCUGAGGCUUUUCGCGAUUGUUCCUUCAGUUUAGGGAGGUUUUGGCCCAUUCUCCUCGUACACUGUUGCAAGCAGUUUCCCUGACGUGAGUAUUUAAUCAAAAGGCUUCUUUAGGCCUCCUUCCUUCAUCCCAUUUGAAGCCCUCUACCCUAGUCACACCUACGAAGCCCCUUCCAUCGUUCAUGAUUUCUGUGACAUGAAUUUAUAUGAUGGUGGUACGUGUAGAUUAUAUUAGCUCUGGAAGGACACACAUCAUCGGAGGAUUUGAUUGAUGCGGGUAUACCUCCUCAUGAUUUUUAUUAGUCAGCGAUGCAAAUGCAAUACCAAAAAGCCAGCAUGGUGUGGCGACGUGCUUUUGGGAUAUCGCUCAUAAGAUAUGUUGAAUUCUAAGAUCUUUGGUUGAAUCAGAUUCCAGAGCUUUUAAGAUAUGUUGAAAUAUGAUUCAAAACUCAUAUUUAUACUAACGUGCAGACUCUCGAAUUUUAAUUUGUUAUUCAUCUAAAAUUUCUUUUACUCUCGGCCAUCGGUCUAAAGUCAACAGAGGAGUCAUGUGUUUAAUGCGCCGGAGAUCGACAAUGCAACUCUCUUCUACAAAUGGUAACUGGAAGCUGACUCUCCCACGUGUAGAAGCUUAGAAAUGGUGCGGGUGAAAUGACUCAUCUAUACCAACUCCGGUUGUCACUAAAUUAACGAUCGAAGAACCCAUAUCAAGCUUCCAGCAUUUAUCUCUCCAAGCAUUUGAGGGUACACCAAGAACUUCAACAACUAGGGGCUACCACCAGUUUGUUCCAAGAGACCACUCCAUUCCUUUACAGGAACGAACCACUGCAGUUAAGAUAGACCAUUUAGAUACCCAUUUUCUCAGAAGAGUGAAAUUGAGCGUAUGGUACAAGGCGUGCACAGGGAUUGAUUCAGGAAAGCAACAACCCAUUUUCUGCCCCUGUUUUACUAGUUAAGAAGAAAGAUGGUACAUGGUAUUUUUGUAUGGAUUAUCAAGCCUUAAACUCUCUAACUAUUAAGUAUUUGUUUCCUAUUCCCAUGGUGGAUGGGUUAUUAAAUGAGUUGCAUGGAUAACAAUUUUUUUCUAA